UACGUAGGGGGCAAGCGUUGUCCGGAUUUAUUGGGCGUAAAGAGCGCGUAGGCGGCCAGAUAAGUCCGGUGUGAAAGUCACAGGCUCAACCUGUGAAUGCCGCUGGAAACUGUCUGGCUUGAGUCCGGGAGGGGCGAGUGGAAUUCCGAGUGUAGAGGUGAAAUUCGUAGAUAUUCGGAAGAACACCAGUGGCGAAGGCGACUCGCUGGACAGGUAUUGACGCUGAGACGCGAAAGCGUGGGGAGCGAACAGG
rnacentral:rRNA from 1 species